UACAGAGGUCUCAAGCGUUGUUCGGAUUCAUUGGGCGUAAAGGGUGCGUAGGUGGCGCCGUAAGUCAGGUGUGAAAUUUCGGAGCUUAACUCCGAAACUGCAUUUGAUACUGCGGUGCUUGAGGACUGGAGAGGAGACUGGAAUUCAUGGUGUAGCAGUGAAAUGCGUAGAGAUCAUGAGGAAGACCAGUGGCGAAGGCGGGUCUCUGGACAGUUCCUGACGCUGAGGCACGAAGGCCAGGGGAGCAAACGGG
rnacentral:rRNA from 1 species